rnacentral:rRNA from 1 species
UACGUAGGGGGCAAGCGUUGUCCGGAUUUAUUGGGCGUAAAGAGCGUGUAGGCGGCUAGGUAGGUCCGUUGUGAAAACUCGAGGCUCAACCUCGAGCUGUCGAUGGAAACCAUCUGGCUAGAGUCCGGAAGAGGAGAGUGGAAUUCCUGGUGUAGCGGUGAAAUGCGCAGAUAUCGUAAGGAAGACCAGUGGCGAAGGCGGGUCUCUGGACAGUUCCUGACGCUGAGGCACGAAGGUCAGGGGAGCAAACGGG